AGUGAACGCUGGCGGUAGGCCUAACACAUGCAAGUCGAACGGCAGCACAGUAAGAGCUUGCUCUUACGGGUGGCGAGUGGCGGACGGGUGAGGAAUACAUCGGAAUCUACUUUUUCGUGGGGGAUAACGUAGGGAAACUUACGCUAAUACCGCAUACGACCUACGGGUGAAAGCAGGGGAUCUUCGGACCUUGCGCGAUUGAAUGAGCCGAUGUCGGAUUAGCUAGUUGGCGGGGUAAAGGCCCACCAAGGCGACGAUCCGUAGCUGGUCUGAGAGGAUGAUCCGCCAAACUGGAACUGAGAAACGGUCCAGACUCCUACGGGAGGCAGCAGUGGGGAAUAUUGGACAAUGGGCGCAAGCCUGAUCCAGCCAUACCGCGUGGGUGAAGAAGGCCUUCGGGUUGUAAAGCCCUUUUGUUGGGAAAGAAAAGCAGCAGGUUAAUACCCCGCUGUUCUGACGGUACCCAAAGAAUAAGCACCGGCUAACUUCGUG
rnacentral:rRNA from 1 species